rnacentral:rRNA from 1 species
CGCGUAGGCGGUUUAAUAAGUUAGAUGUGAAAUUCCGGGGCUCAACCCCGGAGCUGCAUUUAAAACUAUUUAACUAGAGUACAAUUAGGGUAAACGGAAUUCCACGUGUAGCGGUGAAAUGCGUAGAUAUGUGGAAGAACACCGGUGGUGAAGACGGUUUACUGGGUUGUAACUGACGCUGAGGCGCGAAAGCUAGGGGAGCAAACA